UGGGGAAUAUUGGACAAUGGGCGAAAGCCUGAUCCAGCCAUGCCGCGUGUGUGAAGAAGGUCUUCGGAUUGUAAAGCACUUUAAGUUGGGAGGAAGGGCAGUAAGCUAAUACCUUGCUGUUUUGACGUUACCGACAGAAUAAGCACCGGCUAACUCUGUGCCAGCAGCCGCGGUAAUACAGAGGGUGCAAGCGUUAAUCGGAAUUACUGGGCGUAAAGCGCGCGUAGGUGGUUUGUUAAGUUGGAUGUGAAAGCCCCGGGCUCAACCUGGGAACUGCAUCCAAAACUGGCAAGCUAGAGUACGGUAGAGGGUGUUGGAAUUUCCUGUGUAGCGGUGAAAUGCGUAGAUAUAGGAAGGAACACCAGUGGCGAAGGCGGCCACCUGGACUGAUACUGACACUGAGGUGCGAAAGCGUGGGGAGCAAACA
rnacentral:rRNA from 1 species